UGGGGAAUAUUGGGCAAUGGGCGCAAGCCUGACCCAGCAACGCCGCGUUGAAGGAAGAAGGCUUUCGGGUUGUAAACUUCUUUUGUCAGGGACGAAGCAAGUGACGGUACCUGACGAAUAAGCCACGGCUAACUACGUGCC
rnacentral:rRNA from 1 species